AUGACUGAAUCAUUCAACGAUAAGUAUUUAGGGCUGCCUGCUACAGUUGGGUUGGAUAGAACAGAUUGUUUCCAUUACUUAAUCGAUAGAAUUAUUCAGAAAAUCAGUGGGUGGAAGGAAAAGGUAUUAUCAUCAGGUGGGAAGGAGGUGUUACUUAAAUCAGUGGCUCAGGCAAUACCAUCGUACGCUAUGUCGGUCUUUAAAAUUCCUAAAAAGGUUUGCAAGGGAAUUACAGAUACGAUAGCGCAAUACUGGUGGGGCGACGACGCUACUCAUAAGAGGAUGCACUGGUUCGCCUGGUGGAAGAUGUGUGUCCCAAAAAAAGAGGGGGGAUUCGAGAUAUACACUGCUUUAACCUUGCUUUGUUGGCCAAACAAGCAUGGCACUGAUUGA
rnacentral:rRNA from 1 species